rnacentral:rRNA from 1 species
GACAGAGGGUGCAAACGUUGCUCGGAAUCACUGGGGCGUAAAAGGGCGUGUAGGCGGGAAGGAAAGUCAGAUGUGAAAUCCCUGGGCUCAACCCAGGAACUGCAUUUGAAACUCCCUUUCUUGAGUACCGGAGAGGAAAGUGGAAUUCCCUGGUGUAGAGGUGAAAUUCGUAGAUAUCAGGAGGAACACCAGUGGCGAAGGCGGCUUUCUGGACGGUAACUGACGCUGGAGACGCGAAAGCGUGGGGGAGCAAAACAGG